rnacentral:rRNA from 1 species
GAUGAUCGCUGGCGGCGUGCCUAAUACAUGCAAGUCGAGCGAAUGGAUUAAGAGCUUGCUCUUAUGAAGUUAGCGGCGGACGGGUGAGUAACACGUGGGUAACCUGCCCAUAAGACUGGGAUAACUCCGGGAAACCGGGGCUAAUACCGGAUAACCUUUUGAACCGCAUGGUUCGAAAUUGAAAGGCGGCUUCGGCUGUCACUUAUGGAUGGACCCGCGGCGCAUUAGCCAGUUGGUGAGGUAACGGCUCACCAAGGCAACGAUGCGUAGCCGACCUGAGAGGGUGAUCGGCCACACUGGGACUGAGACACGGCCCAGACUCCUACGGGAGGCAGCAGUAGGGAAUCUUCCGCAAUGGACGAAAGUCUGACGGAGCAACGCCGCGUGAGUGAUGAAGGCUUUCGGGUCGCAAAACUCUGUUGUUAGGGAAGAACAAGUGCUAGUUGAAUAAGCUGACACCUUGACGGUACCUAACCAGAAAGCCACGGCUAACUACGUGCCAGCAGCCGCCGUAA